UUAAGGUCAUUAAUAUGGAUUUCCAUUGCCGAAGCCUGUACUGAUGCCAUGGCUGCCAUUUAUUGAGCAUCGUGUCCAUCUCUGGUGAAGUCUCCCCAAAGCAAAAGACCACAACCCAGGUCACUACUCUCUUCUCCUUUCUCCAUCUUAGAUCACUCAUGCUAGUGGAAGCAAGUUGCCAUGUUGUGAGGACACUCAAGACCUUCAAGGAGAGCGGCAGUCCUGAGGCACCCCAGCCAAAAACCAGUGCUUCCCUGUCAGCCGUGGGGGUGACCCAACGUGGACGUGGAGCAUGUGGCUCCAGUUAAGCGUUCAGAUGACUGCAGUCUGAGGACCUGAAGCCAAUCCACUCAGCUAAGCUGGUCCUAAACUCCCAGAAACUCUGAAAUAACGAAUGCUUACUACAGUCGUAAGCUGGUAAAUUUUGAGGAGAGAGGCAGGACUGUCAGAGGCAGAGGAGCUGGUAUGAUGUCAGAGAGAGUGAGAGAUUUGAAGAUGAAAUGUUGCUGACUUUGAACAUGGAAGAAGGGGCCGCAAGCCAAGGACUACAAACAGCUCUGGAAUUGGAAAAGCCAGAGAACACAGCUCCCCUCGAACGCCCAGAAGAAAUGCAGCUCUACUGACACCUUGAUUUUAGCCCAUGGAAGUCCAUUCUUUUUUUUGGCUUCUGAUCUGCAGAAAGAGCUGGGGAUGGAACCCAGGGCCUCCUGCAAGCCAGGCAAGUGCAAUACACCUGGGCCUGCCUCUAUCUUUAUGGAUGCACAACCUAGGAUGUGAGCUCUCUGAGCUGUCGUUGGUGCAUGUGUGUUCAACUUGGUCACAUAUCUGAGGCUUGGGGGUAUAUUUCCAAGCAUACAUGAUUUGUUUACUGACAUAUGUAUGUGUGGUAUGUUAAUGUGUGUAUGUGUCCAGGCUGUGAAGUCACUGGGCUCUUGGUUCAUUUACCUUAAACUGAAAACCUCUGACCUAUCUGAGAGUUUGUCUCAGAAUAUAAGCUCUUCAGUCUGUUUAUGUCUGUAUGUUGUAAGAUCGUAGAUCUACAAUCUGUUUCUGGAUCUUUGGCUUGGAUAUAGGUACUUACUACAAGAUUUGAAAUCUGAUUUGUUUGUGGGUAUCUAUCUCAGACUGUCACAUCUCUGUACUUAUUCUGGGCAUAUAUCCUGCAUGUAAGAUCUCUAACCUGUUUGUCUUUUCAUGUUUCAGACCUCAAGGUCUCUGAUUUCUUUCUGGUUGUUUUUCUUACCUGAAGUCUCUGCUAUGUUUGAGAGUGUUUGAGAGCACAUACCAUAGUAUCUGGAGUGUCUGGUCUUGUGCAUUUGUCAAGGGUGUGAGGUCUGUUAGGUAACUGACCUGCUUGUGGGUUUAUGUCUAAGAAUGCAUUCUUUUUGUAAUUUGUGCAUGUGUGUCCCAGGUUUGGAGGUUUGACUUGUUUGGGGAUAUAUUUCCUGAAAUGUAGGGUCCCUGAUCUCUUUGUGGGGGCACAUCCUACCAUGCCAGGUUUUUGUUCUCUUUGAAUGUGUACAUCCCAGAUGGGAGGUUCUUUUAUGUGUUUGUGGGUUUAAUCCCAAGUGAUUGCGGACUACGACCAUUUUUUGGUCUACGUCCCAGAAUGUGUGUCUCUGCUCUUUUUGGAUGUCUGUUAGAGAGUGGGAGGUGUUUGAUUGAUUUGGAAGUGGAUUACUUCAAGUGAGGUCUGUGAGCUGUUUGUGUGUGUAUCUCUAAUGGCCAGAUAGCAGCACCUCUCUGGGAUGGAAAAAUGGCUUAAGUGAUAGAGCGCCUGCCUAGCAAGCGUAAGGCCCAGAGU